rnacentral:rRNA from 1 species
UACGAAGGGUGCAAGCGUUAAUCGGAAUUACUGGGCGUAAAGGGUGCGUAGGCGGUUGUUUAAGUCUGUCGUGAAAUCCCCGGGCUCAACCUGGGAAUGGCGAUGGAUACUGGGCAGCUAGAGUGUGUCAGAGGAUGGUGGAAUUCCCGGUGUAGCGGUGAAAUGCGUAGAGAUCGGGAGGAACAUCAGUGGCGAAGGCGGCCAUCUGGUCGGAUACUGACGCUAAAACGCGAAAGCGUGGGGAGCAAACAGG